CAGUGGAGUCGAGUUCUUAAAAAGUCACAACGGUUAAAAAUCAGUAUUGUUUUUUAACUUUUAAAUGGAAAGUCACGACGUCGUAUCAGUUCAGUGCUUCAGGCAACGAUCUAGGGCUAGGAGCGUAGCGUAGAGAUAACGGCGUCAUUUUUCAGCGUAAUUCCAACUUCAUCUGUUCUCUCCUAUAUCUGAGACCUGAUAAAGAUUCCAUCUUGCCACUUGGGUAUGUCCCAUUCUGAAAUUUUCCCCCAAUCCCCAAUAGCAUGUGCUUUGUUACAUUAGUAUCAAUCAAGUACUGGACCAAACCAAUUUAGUUGAAGCAUAUUGGCAACAUUUUGAAGCUGAAUUAUUGUUGGUCCUCCCUCCCACUAUUAGUGCAGAUGGUGGGUGGUGCGAGGUCAGUUCCUGGCAUCACAGUGGGGACUAUGGAUUCCUAGACAUCAGAAGCUGCAACUGUUGGAUGGGGAUGUGAUGCAUUGCAUGUACGAUUCAGAUUGGAAUACAAACACCUACUUAAUUUCUUAACAAGAUUAGCAUAGACUUUAAAUACCAAAUAUAUGCCCGAUAGAAGAGAUGAUAGAAGAGAUAUUUGGAGGGAGAAGAUGCUGAUUGAAAGGUAAUAUAUGCCCGAUAGGAUAUGCCUAUUUUUGCUAAUCUAGCCCAAAUAUAUCAUGAAAAUCUACACAAGGAUCGCAUAGAAAAUGGGGUCAGAAAACGCUACCCUUGGGUGCCCACCAAUUUUUACAUUUUCCCACAUUGUACUAUACAGGGGAAGAUGCUGAGAAGAUGUUCUGUGCUUUAGAGCAUAUGAAUUUUAUCAAACAGUGGCAAACUUAGCACAAGCCUGUGGCAUAUUCCAUUCAAUCGUCGAUUCUAUGGAUCGUUUUUCAUUGAGUUAUUUAACUGGAUUAAUAUCAAUAUUAUGUGGUGCAAAUACAAAAGUAUUGGAUGGUAGGUUUAUAUUUUUUGCUUCCCCGAUUAUUCUAGUAAACUUUAUAAGGAUUCAUCACCCUUUCUUAGGCA